UUUUAAUUUGAAAAAAAUAAAUUAGUUUCUCUUCAUCAACCACAACCCCAGGCUAUGCCUCGUAACUACAUUGUGCUUGGCAAUGGUUCAUCUGCACAUCAAUGAUCCUUACUGUUUUUUUACUUCAAGAACAAUCCACCCUUAGAAAACAAUAAAAGGAAAGCACAAAUUAGAACAAAAAUUGACUUGAUUUUCCUGUCUUGGCUAUUUGUUUUCCACGAUCUUUUGUCUAUGUCCAAAUCAAUAGAGGAUGAUAUGUUGCUGUAGGGUUGCUUCUGAAUCUCUGUUGGAAUUAUAUGCCUCUAAGGUCCUUUUCUUCCUCUUCCUUUUCAAAGUAUUGUAUUUAGACUUCAGAGUUGUCUUAUAGUGAUUAUUUAUUGUUGUAUUAUCUUGUCUGCUAGACAAAAAUGUUUACCCAAGUCAUCCUGAGCUUAGCAUGAAUCAAGAUUGCUGCUUCAUUAAUGUUGCUGUCCCUGUUAGAAUCUUUUAUUGCUACUAUAUUGGUGACUUAAUGCAGUCAACAAGUAGUUGUGUGGAGUUGAUAUUAAAAUUGAAUGGCCCCUAGAGCUCACAUGAAGAUUGCAUAAUGAAGGCUCAUCAUAAUACCACUUUGAUUGGCAGAUAACAGUUGAGCAACCAUGAUCAAGAUGACAUACUAGAAAUAAGAUUUGAUUUUGGAAGCAGCCUAUAACUGAGACAUUUCUUAUUUGAUGAGAUGCAUAGAGCCCAAAAUACUUUAUACAUUUUUUGGUGGGGAGAGUGGGUUGGGUUUGUGGAUGGGACUUUUAAAUGCUCUACUUGUGCAACAACGCAACCAAGCCAAUCUUCUGCAUGUCACUUGCUUGGAAACUAAUCUGUUUUAAAGCUACAAAGCUGAAAAGUAAUAGUAGUGGGUGGUACGAAGAGUUCUUUAUUUUCUUUUGUAUAGGAUGCUUACAUGCAACUUGGAUUACGUGGAAAAAAGUAAGAAAUUUUACAACGUGGACUCUAAAGUCAUGUCAAUAGUUAACUGAAAUUCAUGGAUUGUUCUUUUCUUUAGUAUUUUGUGAAAUUUUUGGUCUUGUAUAUGGUAGAUGGAAUUACACAUUUGAAACUACAAGAUAGUUCAAUGACAUUUUAGCUGUGCAAUAAUUGGUUUGGAUGAACAUAAGCUAGUGGUACAUGGGCUGUCUGGGAUCGUUGGAUUGGUUCAAACUUAAGGGGACCAAUACAAUGCCCUAGGGGGAUGGUUGGGCUUUGAUGUUGUAGGGUUGUUGGGUGUGUUAGAUAUGGCCCUAGAACAUUCCUCCUAUCUGUUUGAUGUGGAAAGAGCCAUUUCAUGCAGUGGAAAUUUUUUGAUAGUGUUUCUCUUCUGAAUUCUGUCUAGCUAUUGUGAAUUUCAUUAUUGAUGAAGUUUGUUUCUUUAAAGGAUGAUCCAAGCACAAAUGCUGGGUGUGGCUAAAUUUGACUGAAGAUGGUCAUGUGGAAUGUGAUGCCAGUAUCAUGGAUGGUGAUUCUGGGGCAUUUCGGGCUGUUGGAGUGGUGCGAGGUAUUCCUGAAGUAUAAUUAAUGGAAACCAUACUCUAAACAAUUAAUAAUUAGCAGGUGUCUGAAAUGGUAUCCAAGUUGCUGCUUUGUUGGCCAAGGAACAAAUGUUGGGGUCAGCACUGCUGGGUCGAAUACCUCCCAUGUUCUGAAAAGCGGUUGCGGUCGUCGUAACGGUGGCGGUGGUGCGGUUGUGGGGUGUAAAGGCCGUAGCGUAACGGUUGCGUGGCUGGUUACAAAGAGGGCAAAAACACGGUGGGAAAAAUAGAAAUCAAUGCUUGAUGAUCCAAAAGGCAUGGUAGAAAUUGAUGGAGAGCUUUCUUCUAGCACUCAAGAGGAUGUUGCUGUAUCAGGUACUCCAUGCCAUUUAGAUUUUAAACAGAACAUUCCUGUUCCUCCCAAAGCUGGCAAUAAUUAAGUGGUGUACCAUAAUUGAAUAUGUCAAUUACUUGUUUCAUGAUAAAUAUAUUUGAGAGAGAAGGAUGUUCAUGCUAAAUAUGUCAAUUUCAUUUUUUUUG